CACGUAGGGUGCGAGCGUUGUCCGGAAUUAUUGGGCGUAAAGAGCUCGUAGGCGGUGUGUCGCGUCGGCCGUGAAAACCUGCAGCUUAACUGUGGGCUUGCGGUCGAUACGGGCAUCACUGGAGUUCGGCAGGGGAGACUGGAAUUCCUGGUGUAGCGGUGAAAUGCGUAGAGAUCAGGAAGAACACCGGUGGCGAAGGCGGCUACCUGGACCGGUACUGACGCUGAGGCGCGAAAGCCAGGGGAGCAAACAGG
rnacentral:rRNA from 1 species